rnacentral:tRNA from 1 species
GGUGCCGUAGCCAAGUGGUAAGGCAAGGGUCUGCAAAACCCUCACUCGCGAGUUCGAUUCUCGCCGGCACCUCCA